rnacentral:rRNA from 1 species
AUUGAACGCUGGCGGCAUGCUUUACACAUGCCAGUCGAACGGCAGCGCGGGCUUCGGCCUGGCGGCGAGUGGCGAACGGGUGAGUAAUGCAUCGGAACGUGCCCAGUAGUGGGGGAUAGCCCGGCGAAAGCCGGAUUAAUACCGCAUACGACCUGAGGGUGAAAGCGGGGGACCGACAGGCCUCGCGCUAUUGGAGCGGCCGAUGUCGGAUUAGCUAGUUGGUGGGGUAAAGGCUUACCAAGGCGACGAUCCGUAGCUGGUCUGAGAGGACGACCAGCCACACUGGAACUGAGACACGGCCCAGACUCCUACGGGAGGCAGCAGUGGGGAAUAUUGGACAAUGGGGGCAAGCCUGAUCCAGCCAUGCCGCGUGAGGGAAGAAGGCCUUCGGGUUGUAAAACGCUUUUAUUCGGGAAGAAAUCCUCUGGGAUAAUACCCCGGGGGGAUGACGGUACCGGAAGAAUAAGCACCGGCUAACUACGUG